rnacentral:rRNA from 1 species
GUGGGGAAUAUUGGACAAUGGGCGAAAGCCUGAUCCAGCCAUGCCGCGUGUGUGAAGAAGGUCUUCGGAUUGUAAAGCACUUUAAGUUGGGAGGAAGGGCAGUAAGUUAAUACCUUGCUGUUUUGACGUUACCGACAGAAUAAGCACCGGCUAACUUCGUGCCAGCAGCCGCGGUAAUACGAAGGGUGCAAGCGUUAAUCGGAAUUACUGGGCGUAAAGCGCGCGUAGGUGGUUUUGUAAGUUGGAGGUGAAAUCACCGGUCUCAACCUGGGAACUGCCUGCAAAACUGCAUGACUAGAGUACGGUAGAGUGUAGUGGAAGUUCCUGUGUAGCGGUGAAAUGCGUAGAUAUAGGAAGGAACACCAGUUGCGAAGGCGACUACCUGGACUGAUACUGACACUGAGGUGCGAAAGCGUGGGGAGCAAACAGGAUUAGAAACCCGGGUAGUCC